rnacentral:lncRNA from 1 species
UGAUUUGAUGAAGAAAUGCCUUGUUACCCCACGAUUAUAGUCUUGUAUUAGGACCUUUAGAGGUCCAGAAGGUCCCAUGCAUGUGUACUUCGGGACGAGACCUAUCCCAGGAAGCAGUUACUCGUCUGCAUGGCAUGGACUCGCCGAGUUGUUCUUCAGACUCGGCGAGUAGCUUGAAGAUGUGCUGGGACUCGCCGAGUUGUUCAUCAGACUCGGCGAGUGGAGUCGGGGUGGCCCCGCGAUUCUUCCACGAGGACCUCGUCGAGUCAAGAGGUAUACUCGACGAGUAGAAAGGGAAUAUUCAGGAAUCUGUGAGGACGACUAGACUCGCCGAGUCGCCAUGGUACUCGCCGAGUCCAGUCGAGUUGACCGUUGACCGUUGACCAGAGUUGACCUAAGUCUGACUUCUUAGGGAUAGUCACACUUAGAUGAUAUGAGUGUUAAUGAGUUAUGUAAUGUUAUAGGAGGGUUGUAGCUCGUUGGUUUGUGCGCGAGUGAUUUCAGGAGUUGCUAGCUUUCAGCACUUACGAGGUGAGUCUUCUCACUAUACUGUACCCGGAAGGGUUUGACUGUGUGACCGGAAGGUCAAGUAUGUUAUGUAUUAUGUUUAUAUGCUAUAAGUGGUAAGUUAAGUGUUAUAUGGAUAUGUAUGCUAUAAGUGGUAAGUUAAGUGUUAUAUGGAUAUGUAUGCUAUAUGUGGUAAGUUAAGUGUUAUAUGUGCUAUGUAUGAUAUGUGGGCCGGAAGGCAAUAUGUUAUGGGCCGGAAGGCGAUUAUGUUAUGGGCCGGAAGGCGUUGUAAUGAGGACCGGAAGGUCAGGGCCUGGAAAGGCGUAUGUGCGUAAGUGUAUAUUGGGGAACUCACUAAGCAUUUAUGCUUACAGUUGUUGUGCAUGUAUUUCAGGUACUAGCGAGGACCGUGGGAAGGCGCCGGCAUGAUCGAUACACACUGAAGAUUGUUUUAUGAUCUUGGGAGUUUGAAUAAUUGUAUUGACCGAAUAAUUAAACUGUUUAUGCCUUGUUUUUAAUGGAAAUAAUUAUGUUUUAAAAAUGAAAAAUUUGUUUGAAAAAUUUGAGUUGUUACAAUUGGUAUCAGAGCCUUGGUUUGAGGGAUUCGGGUGCACCUUCGGGGGUAACUGAACUCAAACCGAGGAUUUGAGGAAACUUUUCAAAUAAAGGCAUAAACUUUUGUAAAUGGUUUUGUGGUAAGCAAGAAAGAAGCAGUGUGUACGAUCAGUCAGCGCCCGAACGGUAAAGAUCCCCAAAAUACCUUACAAUAUUAUAUGAUAUGAAUUGUUAUGCAUGCUAGAAGACUAGGUAUUCAUGAUAGGACUAGAGUGGCCUGAUUUGUGAUGCCUUAGUCUAGGGAAGUUGCUUAUAUGAGAUGCUUUGCUAGUAUGCGGGUAGAUAGAGCGUAUCAGAAGUAGAGUACUCACUAUCUGGAGUUUGGGGAGGAGGACUUGGGAUGAACAUUGAUGCGGUGUGGUCGGUAGUAUUGGGCCCGUACUACCGAGGACACCGGGUCAGUGGGAGGCCCAAGUAAGAAUCCCUGGAUAUCUGGGACUGAGUAGGGUUGCGUGUCGAGUACGAUUAUACUCGGUAGAAUCUCUGAUAGUUUUAUGUUGUAUUUCAGAGAUAUCAUGGUUAGACCGCGGCACGGGGCAAGUUCGAGCGGUAUGAGUGACGAGGAUAUUCGUCAGAUGAUCCACGAGGAGGUGGCGGCGGCGAUCCGGGCUGAGAUCCCGGAGAUGUUUGGGUCUAUCAAGACCACCCUGAUGGAGACGUUCGACGAGCGGUACGCCGCAUUGACUGAGGCUGCAACCGCUGCAGCUACCGCAGCUGUGGCCGCUGCUAGGCCACAGGGGGGUGAUUCAUUGCUGUUCCGAGAGUUCAGCAACACGAAGCCACCAGAGUUCGAUGGGACGCAGGAUCCGAUUGCUGCGAUGAGGUGGAUCGCAGAUAUAGAGGGGUGCUUCUAUACUUGUUCAUGCCCGGAGCACCUGAGGGUACGGUUCGCUUUGAACCAGCUCCGUCUGGGAGCGAAGGACUGGUGGAAGUUCGUGACAGCGAAUUUCACUUUGGCAGAGACUACAGCGGUGACAUGGGAGGGGUUUACUGCCAUGUUCAGGGAUGAGUACGUUCCCCCGGUGGAGAGGGAACGAUUGGUGCAGGAGUUCUUAACCCUCAAGCAGGGUACCGAUUCUGUUGCGGUGAUUACACGGAAGUUUCAUGAGAGGGCGAUGUUUUGCCCUGAGCUGGUGUCCUCAGAGCAGGCUCGGAUGAGCCGAUACUUGGGUGUCUUGAGGAGGGAUAUUCGGGAGUUUGUGUCAAACUCCACUUACCAUACUUUUGCUGAGCUUCAGGCGAAUGCCAGGAAGCGCGAGAUCGAGUUGGAGACCCAGGCUAGGGAGGAGGCCGAGUCUCAGCGGGUGGAUCGGCGACCGGCUCAGUUCCAGCCGGCAGCCAAGCGGACCAAGUCCGCUGAUUCGAGGACAGGAGGUUCGAAGGGUCGCACUUGCGGGAAGUGCGGCAAGAGUCAUGAUGGAGUAUGUCGAUCUGGUGCUUGCUACAAGUGUGGCAAGGAGGGGCACAUUGCUAGGGAGUGCCCCAAGGGAUUUUCGGUUUGCUUUCAUUGCAACCAGACUGGCCAUAGGAAGGCCGAGUGCCCUCAGCUUCUUCAGGGAUCUGCACCUGCUGCCGGAGUUACUGCGACUCGACCGGUGAAGGCCGAGGCCCCGAGGGCUCGGGGAAGAGCCUUUCAGCUGACAGCGGAAGAGGUCCGCGCUGCGCCCGAUGUUGUGGCAGGUAUGUUGUAAUUCAUGUAAUUAUUUUAAUGUCGAUAUGUUAUGCUUAUGUUAUUAUGCGCGUAGGUACUUUCCUUGUGAACUCUGUGCCUGCCUUAGUGUUAUUUGACUCGGGUGCGAGUAGGUCCUUUGUGUCCUUGGCCUUUAGUCAGCAUAUUGGCGUUAGUCGUGAGUCGUUGAGUCGACCUUUGAGAGUCUCUAUAGCUGACGAGAAGGUGAUUUGUGCUACGGAGGUUCUUCGGGGAUGUGUACUAGAGAUUUUCGGGGUUGGAUUCCCGAUUGACCUGAUUCCUAUCGCGAUGGGGGAUGUCUGUGUCAUCGUGGGCAUGGACUGGUUGAGCCGGUUCGGCGCUGUCAUCGACUGUGAGCGUCAGUUGGUGACUAUACGAGACCCUAGAGGGGGAGUUCUUUCGGUAUACGGCGAGGGUACCCGUUCGGGAUCAGCUUUUUGUUCGGCCGCUAGGGCGAGGCAGUGUCUACGUCAGGGCUGUAAGGGUUUCGUGGCGUAUGUGAUGGAUACGCGGGAGGUUUCUGAGAAACCGAAGUCAGUUGAGGAAGUUCCGGUGGUGCGCGAGUUUUCAGAUGUCUUUCCCGAGGAGUUGCCGGGAGUACCGCCUGUGAGGCAAGUAGAGUUUAGUAUCGAUCUGGUUCCGGGGGCAGCGCCUAUUGCUAAAGUGCCCUAUCGUCUUGCACCUCCAGAGAUGCAAGAGUUGUCCUCGCAACUCCAGGAGUUGCUGGGAAAGGGAUUCAUUCGGCCGAGCAGCUCGCCAUGGGGAGCACCUAUUCUGUUCGUCAAGAAGAAGGAUGGUUCACACCGGAUGUGCAUUGAUUACCGGGAGUUGAACAAGCUAACGGUCAAGAACCGUUACCCGUUGCCGAGGAUCGAUGAUUUAUUCGAUCAGUUGCAGGGAGCAUCUUGGUUUUCCAAGAUCGAUCUGAGGUCAGGAUACCAUCAGGUGAGAGUACGGGAUGAAGACGUCCAGAAGACAGCGUUUAGGACGCGAUAUGGGCAUUAUGAGUUUGUGGUGAUGCCUUUUGGACUCACCAAUGCCCCGGCUGUGUUCAUGGAUCUCAUGAACAGGGUAUGCAGGCCGAUGUUGGAUCGGUCAGUGAUUGUAUUUAUCGACGACAUUCUGGUGUAUUCGAGAUCUAGAGAGCAGCAUGAGGAGCAUUUGAGGGAGGUCCUUGAGGUAUUGAGGUCGGAGAAGCUUUAUGCAAAGUUCUCCAAAUGUGACUUCUGGUUGCGGGAGGUCCAGUUUCUAGGACAUGUGGUUAAUCAGAAAGGGAUAUUGGUCGAUCCGGCCAAGGUUGAGGCGGUGAUGAGUUGGGAGGUGCCGAAGUCACCCUCUGAGAUCAGAAGUUUCCUUGGGUUGGCAGGGUAUUAUCGGAGAUUUAUCAAGGAUUUCUCCAAGAUCGCAGUGCCACUCACCAGAUUGACCCGGAAGGGUGUUACGUUCUCAUGGGGGCCCGAGCAGCAGACCUCCUUUGAGACACUUCGCCAAAGAUUGUGCGAAGCCCCGGUAUUAGCUCUUCCAGAAGGGAUGGAAGAUUUCGUGGUAUAUUGCGACGCAUCGAUUUCGGGAUUGGGUGCAGUGUUAAUGCAGAGGGGUCAUGUGAUAGCUUAUGCGUCGAGGCAGCUGAAGCCUCAUGAGGCGAGAUAUCCCACGCAUGAUUUAGAGUUGGGGGCAGUAGUGUUCGCUCUCAAGAUUUGGCGUCACUACUUGUAUGGGGUUCGAUGUACGAUAUACACGGACCAUAAGAGUUUGAAGUAUUUGAUGGAUCAACCCAACCUAAAUAUGCGUCAGAGGAGGUGGUUGGAUGUGGUCAAGGAUUAUGAUUGUGAGAUCCUGUACCACCCAGGCAAGGCUAAUGUGGUAGCCGAUGCAUUGAGUCGCAGGGCGGAGAGCACUCCAUUGCGAGACGUAUGCUUGAGACUGACUGUGAUGACUCCAGUAUUGGACGCCAUUCGUGGGGCCCAGGCUGAGGCUGUGCGACCAGAAAUGCAGAAGAAAGAGCGGGUUGUGGGGUUAAUCUCAGAGUUUGUCAAGGAUAGUCGAGGCCUUAUGACGUUUCAGGGUCGGAUUUGGGUGCCGUUCGUGGGCGGUACGCGUAUUACGUUGAUGGAAGAGGCUCAUAGAUCGAAAUUCUCGAUCCAUCCCGGUGCUACAAAGAUGUAUUUGGAUUUAAGGAAGGAAUAUUGGUGGCCCUGUAUGAAGAGGGACGUGGCAUGGUUCGUUGAGAGGUGCUUGACCUGCCGUAGGGUUAAGGCUGAGCACCAGAGACCGCAUGGCAAGUUACAGCCAUUGGAGAUCCCCGAGUGGAAGUGGGAACAGAUUACUAUGGAUUUUAUCACCAAAUUGCCGAGGACUGCUAGGGGAGUUGACGCAAUUUGGGUGAUCGUGGAUAGGUUGACAAAGAGUGCACACUUCCUUGCCAUCAGUGAGAGUUCUUCGGCGGAGAAAUUGGCGGAGAUAUACGUGAGAGAGGUGGUAUCUCGGCACGGGGUGCCGAUCUCGAUUGUGUCAGACCGUGAUGUGCGCUUCACUUCCAGAUUCUGGAAGAAAUUCCAUGAGGAGCUGGGUACUAAAUUGCAUUUUAGUACCGCAUACCAUCCCCAGACAGACGGUCAGAGCGAGCGGACAAUUCAGACACUGGAGGACAUGCUCCGAGCGUGUGUGUUAGACUUCGGGGGUAGUUGGGAUGCGUAUUUACCAUUGGCAGAGUUUUCCUACAACAACAGCCAUCAUUCGAGCAUUGGUAUGCCGCCUUUCGAGCUGUUGUAUGGUAGGAGGUGUCGGACUCCCAUUUGCUGGGGAGAGGUGGGACAGAGAGUGAUGGGCAGCACGGAGAUCAUACUCCAGACGACAGAGCAGAUUCAACAAGUGAGACAAAGAUUAUUGACUGCCCAGAGCCGACAGAAGAGUUACGCAGACAGACGCCGAUCCGAGCUUGAAUUUCAAGUCGGCGACUUCGUUCUCCUGAAGGUCUCUCCUUGGAAAGGAGUGAUUCGAUUCAGGAAGAGGGGCAAAUUGGGGCCCCGGUAUAUUGGGCCAUUUCGUGUGAUUGCAAGAGUAGGCCGGGUAGCCUAUCGGUUGGAGUUGCCAGCGGAGUUGGGUCAGAUCCAUGACACUUUUCAUGUAUCGCAGUUGAGGAAGUGCAUAGCCGAUGAGUCGGCAGUGGUUCCAUUGGAGGAUAUUCAGGUGGAUGCGAGCCUGAAUUACGCGGAGAGACCAGUGGCUAUCAGGGGUCGGAAGAUCAAGGUUCUGAGGAAUAAGGAAGUACCUCUGGUGUUGGUUCAAUGGCAACACCGUAAGGGAUCAGAAAUGACUUGGGAACCGGAGCGUGAAAUGCGGGAGCAGCAUCCGGAACUAUUUGCAGAAUGAGACUUCGAGGGCGAAGUCUAAUCCAAGUGGGGGAGAAUUGUAACAGCCCGGAACCUCAGGUAUUAUUAAAAUUAUGUUUUUGGGGUGAUUUAAGAGGGGACUCGGCGAGUUGGAGCCUAGACUCGCCGAGUAGGAUCGCGGACUUGGUCGCGGGUCCGCGACUGGACUCGACGAGUCCAGAUAUGGACUCGGCGAGUCGACGCUGUUCAGCAGAAACCCUAACCGUUCAAGGUUGGGACGUAUAAAAGGGGUCCAUUGGCCGUCAUUGUUCGUUUUGCCUUCUGAGAGGAACCCUAAAUCGAUUAAGUGCAGCAGGAGCAAGGAUCUUAGGCCAUUAUUGGUUAGAGAAGAGUGGGUGUGCAAGGAAGAGGGAGGAUUGGCUAAAAGAGCAGCAAGGGGGUCACAUUCUGAGGUUGGGAAUACAGAGAACACAUCAUCCAGGUAAGAAUUCGUGUUUGCUCUGUUAUUUUGAUGUAAUUAUGAAAUUAGGGUUUAUAGAACCCAUUUAGUGAUUUGAUGAAGAAAUGCCUUGUUACCCCACGAUUAUAGUCUUGUAUUAGGACCUUUAGAGGUCCAGAAGGUCCCAUGCAUGUGUACUUCGGGACGAGACCUAUCCCAGGAAGCAGUUACUCGUCUGCAUGGCAUGGACUCGCCGAGUUGUUCUUCAGACUCGGCGAGUAGCUUGAAGAUGUGCUGGGACUCGCCGAGUUGUUCAUCAGACUCGGCGAGUGGAGUCGGGGUGGCCCCGCGAUUCUUCCACGAGGACCUCGUCGAGUCAAGAGGUAUACUCGACGAGUAGAAAGGGAAUAUUCAGGAAUCUGUGAGGACGACUAGACUCGCCGAGUCGCCUUGGUACUCGCCGAGUCCAGUCGGGUUGACCGUUGACCAGAGUUGACCUAAGUCUGACUUCUUAGGGAUAGUCACAUUUAGCUGAUAUGAGUGUUAAUGAGUUAUGUAAUGUGAUAGGAGGGUUGUAGCUCGUCGGUUUGUGCACGAGUGAUUUCAGGAGUUGCUAGCUUUCAGCACUUACGAGGUGAGUCUUCUCACUAUACUGUACCCGGAAGGGUUUGACUGUGUGAUCGGAAGGUCAAGUAUGUUAUGUAUUAUGUUUAUGUGCUAUAAGUGGUAAGUUAAGUGUUAUAUGGAUAUGUAUGCUAUAAGUGGUAAGUUAAGUGUUAUAUGGAUAUGUAUGCUGUAUGUGGUAAGCUAAGUGUGAUAUGUGCUAUGUAUGAUAUGUGGGCCGGAAGGCAAUAUGUUAUGAGCCGGAAGGCGAUUAUGUUAUGGGCCGGAAGGCGUUGUAAUGAGGACCAGAAGGUCAGGGCCUGGAAAGGCGUAUGUGUGUAAGUGUAUAUUGGGGAACUCACUAAGCAUUUAUGCUUACAGUUGUUGUGUAUGUAUGUAUUUCAGGUACUACUAGCGAGGACCGUGGGAAGGCGCCGGCAUGAUCGAUACACACUGAAGAUUGUUUAGGAUCUUGGGAGUUUGAAUAAAUGUAUUGACCGAAUAAUUAAACUAUUUAUGCCUUGUUUUAAUGGAAAAUAUUAUGUUUUAAAAAUGAAAAAUUUGUUUGAAAAAUUUGAGUUGUUACAA